CCUACGGGCGGCAGCAGUGAGGAAUAUUGGUCAAUGGGCGAGAGCCUGAACCAGCCAAGUCGCGUGAGGGAAGACGGUCCUAUGGAUUGUAAACCUCUUUUGUCGGGGAGCAAAAAGGCCUCGUGAGGCCACAAGUGAGAGUACCCGAAGAAAAAGCAUCGGCUAACUCCGUGCCAGCAGCCGCGGUAAUACGGGGGAUGCGAUCGUUAUCCGGAGUUAUGGGGUUAAAAGGGUGCGUAGGCGGACUGGAAGGUCAGCGGUAAAAGCGAGAGGUUCAACCUCUUUCCGCCGUUGAAACUGUCGGUCGUGAGUGGGCGAGAAGUAUGCGGAAUGCGUGGUGUAGCGGUGAAAUGCAUAGAUAUCACGCAGAACUCCGAUUGCGAAGGCAGCAUACCGGCGCCCGACUGACGCUGAGGCACGAAAGCGUGGGUAUCGAACAGGAUUAGAUACCCUUGUAGUC
rnacentral:rRNA from 1 species